ACAUGGGGAAAUCAGACUUUCCCCACAGAAGGCUUGCAAGGUAAUAACUGCCUGUGCAGUGCUGCAUAACCUCAGCAAAGACAGGAAUGUGCCUAUGCCAGUUGUACAUGGAAACAGCCAAUCCGGACAGCUAAGGGCACAGAUGCAAGGUCUAUCAGCCAUUGCACCUGCAGCAACAGGGUUGAGAUAUAGGGAACAGUUUGCAAUCACCUACUUUCCAUAAGUCUGAUUCUGGCACUGGCAAGUCCUCUUUGGCACGUGGAACACAUUGGCCAUGUCCUCAACUUCACCGCUGAAAGAAAUAUAUAUACAUUAUUUGUGUAUUCGGAGCCUUGUGUUUUGUUUUUAUACAGAGACUUGUCAAUAAUUGCAAAUUGACUGCCUGUGGCAGACACAUUGGGAAAGAA